rnacentral:rRNA from 1 species
UACGUAGGGCGCGAGCGUGUCCGGAUUUAUUGGGCGUAAAGGGCUUGUAGGCGGCUUGUCGCGUCGGAUGUGAAAACCCGUGGCUCAACUGCGGGCCUGCAUUCGAUACGGGCUGGCUAGAGUACGGCAGGGGAGACUGGAAUUCCUGGUGUAGCGGUGGAAUGCGCAGAUAUCAGGAGGAACACCGGUGGCGAAGGCGGGUCUCUGGGCCGUUACUGACGCUGAGGAGCGAAAGCGUGGGGAGCGAACAGG